GCCAGGCACGGUGGCGCGUGUCUGUAGUCCCAGCUACUCGGGAGGCUGAGAUGGGAGGAUCGCUUGAGCCCAGGAGUUCUGGGCAGUAGUGCGCUAUGCCGAUUGGGUGUCUGCACUAAGUUCAGCAUCAAUAUGGUGACCUCCCGGGAGCAGGGGACCACCAGGUUGCCUAAGGAUGGGUGAACCAGCCCAGGUCGGAAACGGAGCUGGUCAAAACUCCCAUGCUGAUCAGUACUGGGAUCGCGCCUGUGAAUAGCCACUGCACUCCAGCCUGGGCAACAUAGCGAGACCCCAUCUCU
rnacentral:SRP_RNA from 1 species